rnacentral:rRNA from 1 species
GACGAACGCUGGCGGCGUGCUUAACACAUGCAAGUCGAACGGAAAGGCCCUGCUUGCAGGGUGCUCGAGUGGCGAACGGGUGAGUAACACGUGGGUGAUCUGCCCCUUACUUUGGGAUAAGCCUGGGAAACUGGGUCUAAUACUGGAUAGGACCAUGCUGUAGGUGGUGUGGUGGAAAGAUUAGUUUCGGUAAGGGAUGAGCUCGCGGCCUAUCAGCUUGUUGGUGGGGUAAUGGCCUACCAAGGCGUCGACGGGUAGCCGGCCUGGGAGGGUGGACGGCCACAUUGGGACUGAGAUACGGCCCAGACUCCUACGGGAGGCAGCAGUGGGGAAUAUUGCACAAUGGGCGCAAGCAUGAUGCAGCGACGCCGCGUGGGGGAUGACGGCCUUCGGGUUGUAAACUCCUUUCAGCCAUGACGAAGCCCUUGUGGUGACGGUAGUGGUAGAAGAAGCACCGGCUAACUACGUG